rnacentral:tRNA from 1 species
GCGGACGUGGUGGAAUUGGUAGACACGUCAGAUUUAGGUUCUGAUGGUUAGUACCGUGGGGGUUCGAGUCCCUCCGUCCGCACCA